AUUUUGUCGUGCAAUGGAUAGAAAUUUUAAUUGAGUUGGAAGGCGAACCGUUUUUGAACGUGUUUAUUGAAAGCGGUCUAACUAAGGAAUCAUUGAAGCUCCUAAAGCCAAGCCAUUUGGAUACAUUGAUCGACACAUCGCAGUUUGGACCAAGGGGAAUAAAAACACAAGCCAUUCACACUGAGGCAUGCGCUUUAUUGGCAAAUGAAUAUCGUGGCGAGG